GACGUAGGAGGCGAGCGUUAUCCGGAUUCACUGGGCGUAAAGCGCAUGUAGGCGGUUGCACAAGUCCGUUGUUAAAGCCCCUGGCUCAACUGGGGGAGGUCAAUGGAGACUGUGCGACUUGAGGGCAAUAGAGGCACGUGGAACUCCCGGUGUAGCGGUGGAAUGCGUAGAGAUCGGGAAGAACACCAGUGGCGAAGGCGACGUGCUGGGUUGCACCUGACGCUGAGGAGCGAAAGCAUGGGGAGCGAACAGG
rnacentral:rRNA from 1 species